rnacentral:rRNA from 1 species
UACGGGGGUGGCGAGCGUUGUCCGGAAUUACUAGGCGUAAAGCGCAAGUAGGCGGUUUAUUAAGUCAGAUGUUAAAUACUUCGGCUCAACCGAAGGCCUGCAUUUGAAACUGAUAAACUAGAGUGAGUUAUAGGGAGACGGAAUUCCUGGUGUAGCGGUGGAAUGCGCAGAUAUCAGGAGGAACACCGAAGGCGAAGGCAGUCUUCUGGGGCUCAACUGACGCUCAAUUGCGAAGGUGUGGGAAU